GAUCCUGGCUCAGGAUGAACGCUAGCGGCAGGCUUAACACAUGCAAGUCGAGGGGCAGCGGGUCCAGCAAUGGACGCCGGCGACCGGCGCAAGGGUGCGUAACGCGUGAGCGACAUGCCCGCGACCGGGGGAUAACCGAUGGAAACGUCGCCUAACCCCCCAUAUAUCCAUGAUUCGCAUGUAUCGUGGAUGAAAACUCCGGUGGUCGCGGAUUGGCUCGCGUCUGAUUAGCUGGUUGGCGGGGUAACGGCCCACCAAGGCGACGAUCAGUAGGGGUUCUGAGAGGAAGGUCCCCCACAAUGGAACUGAGACACGGUCCAUACUCCUACGGGAGGCAGCAGUGAGGAAUAUUGGUCAAUGGGCGGAAGCCUGAACCAGCCAUGCCGCGUGCGGGAAGACGGCCCUACGGGUUGUAAACCGCUUUUGUGUGUGAGCAAUAAGGCGGACGGGUUCCGCUGAUGAGAGUAGCAUACGAAUAAGCAUCGGCUAACUCCGUGCC
rnacentral:rRNA from 1 species